rnacentral:rRNA from 1 species
GAUGAACGCUGGCGGCGUGCCUAAUACAUGCAAGUCGAGCGAAUGGAUUAAGAGCUUGCUCUUAUGAAGUUAGCGGCGGACGGGUGAGUAACACGUGAGUAACCUGCCCUUGACUCUGGGAUAACUGCGGGAAACUGUAGCUAAUACCGGAUACGACCCUCGGCGGCAUCGCCAGGGGGUGGAAAGAAUUUCGGUCAAGGAUGGACUCGCGGCCUAUCAGCUAGUUGGUGAGGUAACGGCUCACCAAGGCGACGACGGGUAGCCGGCCUGAGAGGGUGACCGGCCACACUGGGACUGAGACACGGCCCAGACUCCUACGGGAGGCAGCAGUAGGGAAUCUUUCACAAUGGGGGCAACCCUGAUGGAGCAACGCCGCGUGCGGGACGAAGGCCUUCGGGUCGUAAACCGCUUUUAUUAUUGAGAAAUAUGAUGGUAGAUGAUGAAUAAGGAUCGGCUAACUACGUGCCAGCCGCCGCCGUAA